GGGUUGUGAGGUUAAGCGACUAAGCGUACACGGUGGAUGCCCUGGCAGUCAGAGGCGAUGAAGGGCGUGCUAAUCUGCGAUAAGCGCCGGUAAGGUGAUAUGAACCGUUAUAACCGGCGAUACCCGAAUGGGGAAACCCAGUGUGAUUCGUCACACUAUCAUUAACUGAAUCCAUAGGUUAAUGAGGCGAACCGGGGGAACUGAAACAUCUAAGUACCCCGAGGAAAAGAAAUCAACCGAGAUUCCCCCAGUAGCGGCGAGCGAACGGGGAGGAGCCCAGAGCCUGAAUCAGCAUGUGUGUUAGUGGAAGCGUCUGGAAAGGCGCGCGAUACAGGGUGACAGCCCCGUACACAAAAGCGCAUGUGCUGUGAGCUCGAUGAGUAGGGCGGGACACGUGAUAUCCUGUCUGAAUAUGGGGGGACCAUCCUCCAAGGCUAAAUACUCCUGACUGACCGAUAGUGAACCAGUACCGUGAGGGAAAGGCGAAAAGAACCCCGGCGAGGGGAGUGAAAAAGAACCUGAAACCGUGUACGUACAAGCAGUGGGAGCACCCUUCGGGGUGUGACUGCGUACCUUUUGUAUAAUGGGUCAGCGACUUAUAUUCUGUAGCAAGGUUAACCGAAUAGGGGAGCCGGAGGGAAACCGAGUCUUAACCGGGCGUUAAGUUGCAGGGUAUAGACCCGAAACCCGGUGAUCUAGCCAUGGGCAGGUUGAAGGUUGGGUAACACUAACUGGAGGACCGAACCGACUAAUGUUGAAAAAUUAGCGGAUGACCUGUGGCUGGGGGUGAAAGGCCAAUCAAACCGGGAGAUAGCUGGUUCUCCCCGAAAGCUAUUUAGGUAGCGCCUCGUGAAUUCAUCUCCGGGGGUAGAGCACUGUUUCGGCUAGGGGGCCAUCCCGGCUUACCAACCCGAUGCAAACUGCGAAUACCGGAGAAUGUUAUCACGGGAGACACACGGCGGGUGCUAACGUCCGUCGUGAAGAGGGAAACAACCCAGACCGCCAGCUAAGGUCCCAAAGUCAUGGUUAAGUGGGAAACGAUGUGGGAAGGCCCAGACAGCCAGGAUGUUGGCUUAGAAGCAGCCAUCAUUUAAAGAAAGCGUAAUAGCUCACUGGUCGAGUCGGCCUGCGCGGAAGAUGUAACGGGGCUAAACCAU
rnacentral:rRNA from 1 species